UACGGGGGGGGCGAAGCGUUGUUCGGAAUUACUGGGCGUAAAGGGCUCGUAGGCGGCCAACUAAGUCAGACGUGAAAUCCCUCGGCUUAACCGGGGGAACUGCGUCUGAUACUGGAUGGCUCGAGUUUGGGAGAGGGAUGCGGAAUUCCAGGUGUAGCGGUGAAAAUGCGUAGAUAUCUGGAGGAACACCGGUGGCGAAGGCGGCAUCCUGGACCAACACUGACGCUGAUGAGCGAAAAGCCAGGGGAGCAAAACGGG
rnacentral:rRNA from 1 species